rnacentral:lncRNA from 1 species
CGCCCAUUCGUUCAUGCAACUUUCAGGUAGAUUGUGAUUAGUUUUAAUAUUCAUCAUUCUAGCAGCUAACGACAAUUUAGAGAGACCUUCUCUACAACCACUGUAAAGUGGUUGAUUCGCCGCGUUUAACAUUUCGUAAAACUUUUUUGCAUCUAUAUUAGGUUCUUCAUCUUCAUCAUGAGCUACGAAUGCAUCAGCUACC